UACGUAGGCAGCAAGCGUUGUUCGGAGUUACUGGGCGUAAAGGGUGUGUAGGCGGUUGUUUAAGUUUGGUGUGAAAUCUCCCGGCUUAACUGGGAGGGUGCGCCGAAUACUGAAUAACUAGAGUGCGGGAGAGGUGAGUGGAAUUCCUGGUGUAGCGGUGAAAUGCGUAGAUAUCAGGAGGAACACCGGUGGUGUAGACGGCUCACUGGACCGUAACUGACGCUGGAACACGAAAGCGUGGGUAGCAAACAGG
rnacentral:rRNA from 1 species